AUGAACGCUGGCGGCAUGGAUUAGGCAUGCAAGUCGAACGUGAUCCGUCCUUCGGGACGGUGAAAGUGGCGAAAGGGUGAGUAACACGUGAGCAACCUGUCCUCAAGUUCGGGAUAGCCCCGGGAAACUGGGAUUAAUACCGGAUGUGGUGCGCGGUCGCCUGGCCGCGCCACUAAAGAUUUAUUGCUUGAGGAGGGGCUCGCGUCCCAUUAGCUAGUUGGUGAGGUAACGGCCCACCAAGGCGAUGACGGGUAGCUGGUCUGAGAGGAUGGUCAGCCACACUGGGACUGAGACACUGCCCAGACUCCUACGGGAGGCUGCAGUCGAGAAUCUUCCGCAAUGGGCGAAAGCCUGACGGAGCGAUGCCGCGUGGGGGAUGAAGGCCUUCGGGUUGUAAACUCCUGUCACCCGGGACGAAAAAAUGACGGUACCGGGAGAGGAAGCCACGGCUAACUACGU
rnacentral:rRNA from 1 species